CCGGAAUUCAUCAACGGGAGCCUUUCUCAUACUGACCAGCAGAGGGCGACACACGGUACACUUUUGCGAUCAUAUGGUCAAAUUGAGGGAGUCCAAAACGGAAUAUACUGCACGAGCCGUUUCCUGCUCAACUGAGACCGCUCAUGUCCCUCGUGACUCCACUUGUAUUGCCACUCCGUUCCAUUUCAGGUUUCUCUGUAAUCGUUUGCAAAUAAGUCCACCUUGCUGAUUGUGUUUUUGUGUGCAUGAGCAGGAAGUUGGCGCGUGCUUGGCAGGGAGUGGAGACGAUGCCACAACGAAAAUGCACCUUUACGGAGGAAUUCGAUUUUUUUCCACCACCUGGGUCGUGAUGCUGAGUGGCUAACGAGUUAGGCAGGCACUUACGUGUCUGUGGCAAAUCAAAGUGCCACCAACGACCUGCAGGCACACAUCAAUUCAGCCAAGCACACUUAAGCACCGAGGCACGGAUUUCUUUUAAGACCAAGCCCGAAAAUGUAGCCGAGCCGUCGUUGCAGCAGAAGAGUCCGAAACAUUCUGACCGCUGGACGGUGGAGACGAACAAACGAACAACCGAGGAGAACGCGACCGGCACAUCUCAACUGAGGUAGACGAACAAACACGCCACGCCACGCCACGCGGGUCGAGCAAACUGGAAGGCCAGGAGCCACCUCAGCUGAACAAACACGCCACGCGGGUCACGCAAACCGGAAGGCCAGGAGCCACCUCAGCCGAGGUAGGUGAGGACCACGGCCUGGAUGGGCAGGCGGCACACGGGACACAGCUUGUUGCGCUUCUUCAGCUUGCGCGCGCACACGUAGCACAACAUCAGGUGGCCCGUCUUGCCGUGGAUGAUGCAGCCGUUCUUGGGCCGCGACUGGCAGAUGAGGCACGGCUCCAGGCACGAGUCGGGCAGCCGCAUGUCGGCCGACACCGUGCGCUCCACCUCGGGCCCGCCCGCAGUCAUCUCCUGGGAGCUCCCCACCGUCUCCUGGGAGUUGGCGCCUGACGAAGGCUGCGAGUCACACGCCCACGACUUCUCCGGCGAGGACAAGCUGUAGGACGAGGACGGUCGCGACGGCGCCUCCUGCCAGUCGGGAGCCGACGAGACUUUGACCGCUUGGCCGUCCGGGACGUCCACGCCGUCCGGGACGUCCACGCCGUCUUCGGCGUCGGAACCUUGGGGAAGAGCGGGACAAAUCACUCGCUGAACACGCGUGCGAGGAUUACAUGAGGGCGGGCGGGCUCGGCGCAUUUGCACAUAUCUCAAUGUUGCCGCUGCGACGACGGCAGUCGCCCAACUGACCCGGAGCGUCGGCGCACGUGGCCGGGUGGGUGGCCGAGGCGCACAGCCAAUCCUGGUGCAGACUCCAGCAGCGCAGGCAGUUCCUCGG